AGCUUCCUGGAUCUGUGAAGAGAUUUCGUCAGACACCAUCCCACCAGGGUUGACCAGACUUCCGAGAUAAGUGAAGUU
rfam:Schistosoma haematobium scaffold870_2, whole genome shotgun sequence.